rnacentral:rRNA from 1 species
CCUACGGGAGGCAGCAGUAAGGAAUAUUGGUCAAUGGAGGCAACUCUGAACCAGCCAUGCCGCGUGCAGGAAGAAGGCCCUAUGGGUCGUAAACUGCUUUUGUACCAGAGAAAACCCGAGUACGUGUACUCGGUUGAUAGUAUGGUAAGAAUAAGCAUCGGCUAACUUCGUGCCAGCAGCCGCGGUAAGACGAAGGAUGCAAGCGUUAUCCGGAUUCAUUGGGUUUAAAGGGUGCGUAGGCGGACUGAUAAGUCAGUGGUGAAAUCUCUCGGCUUAACCGAGAAACUGCCAUUGAUACUGUUAGUCUAGAGUAUAGAUGACGUUGGCGGAAUAUGACAUGUAGUGGUGAAAUACUUAGAUAUGUCAUAGAACACCGAUUGCGAAGGCAGCUAACGAAACUAUAACUGACGCUGAGGCACGAAAGUGCGGGGAUCAAACAGGAUUAGAUACCCUGGUAGUCCGCACCGUAAACGAUGAUUACUCGUUGUUGGCAAUAUGACCGUCAGCGACCAAGCGAAAGCGAUAAGUAAUCCACCUGGGGAGUACGCCGGCGAACGGUGAAACGUUAAGGAAUUGACGG